rnacentral:rRNA from 1 species
UAGGGAAUCUUCGGCAAUGGGGGGAACCCUGACCGAGCAACGCCGCGUGAGUGAAGAAGGUUUUCGGAUCGUAAAGCUCUGUUGUUAAGGAAGAACGAGUGUGAGAAUGGAAAGUUCAUGCUGUGACGGUACUUAACCAGAAAGGGACGGCUAACUACGUGCCAGCAGCCGCGGUAAUACGUAGGUCCCGAGCGUUGUCCGGAUUUAUUGGGCGUAAAGCGAGCGCAGGCGGGUAGAUAAGUCUGAAGUUAAAGGCAGUGGCUCAACCAUUGUAGGCUUUGGAAACUGUUUAACUUGAGUGCAGAAGGGGAGGGUGGAAUUCCGUGUGUAGCGGUGAAAUGCGUAGAUAUAUGGAGGAACACCGGUGGCGAAGGCGGCUCUCUGGUCUGUAACUGACGCUGAGGCUCGAAAGCGUGGGGAGCGAACAGG